rnacentral:rRNA from 1 species
GACGUAGGAGGCGAGCGUUAUCCGGAUUCACUGGGCGUAAAGAGCGUGUAGGCGGCCAGGUAGGUCAGCUGUGAAAACUCGAGGCUCAACCUCGAGAUGUCGGCUGAAACCAUCUGGCUAGAGUCCGGAAGAGGAGAAUGGAAUUCCCGGUGUAGCGGUGAAAUGCGCAGAUAUCGGGAAGAACACCCGUGGCGAAGGCGGUUCUCUGGGACGGUACUGACGCUGAGACGCGAAAGCGUGGGGAGCGAACAGG